rnacentral:lncRNA from 1 species
GCGGGAUGUAUAAGUACCGAGCCACGCCAAAUAGAUAUUACCAACACAUGACUAUUAAUAAAACAGUAAAAGUGUGUUACUGUAUGGUGUUGUUGAAGUUGGAUUAUAUUCCGAUCGUCUUGGUGCCUACAAGCAGAAUGUGCAUUUUAACAAUGUGCAGAUCGUUUAUUUGUCUCUGUAGCGGAUAGAUCGGCACGCAAUAAAAUUGGGACAACUCGUUUAUAUUUUAGUCAUUAUUACUUAAACUUUAUGGUGCAUGCAUACAGAGUAACUGACAAUAUUUUUAUUGCAAAAAAUAAAAUAGCAAAAAUACUGAACCCCGCCCAGGAACAUUCAAAACGAAAAUACCGUUAUCAAAUGGUAAAGUCAAGAGCUCAAACACAUCAAACGAAUGAAUAACAACUUUCAUAUUCCUGACUUGGUACAGGUAUUUUCUAAAGGAGAAAAUUCUGGACUAAAACUGGUUUUAUAGCUUGCUAAACUUUAAUCUUGUAUGCCAGUCGCACAAAAUUCCAUGCUUGCUGCACAACGUUUGUUUCUCCAUUUGAGAGUUCUAACUUUGAUUCUUCCAUGCCAUUUGUGUUUAAACCAGAACAAUUGUAGAAGGCAGUAACAUGCUAUUGAUAGUACUAUGACUGUUCAUGACCAUAUGCAUGAUCAAUUAAAAUCUUUUGUAAGUAAACAAUUCCGUACUUUGAUUAAUACAGGGCAAUUACUCGUUAUCGUAUAUACUACUUAUACGAGUUUUCGAACUUUGCUUAUGAAUGUAUACCGUAUGUUGGUAUGACUUCUACAUGGACUUUUCUAUCAUUAUUUUUUUUCUGUAAUAUCUUUUUUUUCUUUAUUCCCGUUGAAAACCCUUGUUUUUUUAUAUUUUAUAUAUAAAUUUUAGGUACGGCAUGCC